rnacentral:sRNA from 1 species
CUCUCACUUCAAGGUCUUUCGAGUGUAUGCCAGCAAUCAAGAGUUUGAGAGCGUCCGGCUGAAUGAGACACUUUCAUCAUUUUCUGAUGACAAUAAGGUUGAUUAAAAUAAUCUUCGAGUAGUUAGAGUCUAUUUUAAAUGAUAGAUUUGAGAACAGCUUUUACUACUUCCAAGUGAGGUGAAGUAGAUAAACUGGAAGGAUUUUUUUUUAAUGAUUAAUGAUUACAAUUAGACUGGGGAGAGCACUUAAAAAAGGAGAAUACAGAGUUAAAGUAUACCAGCUUUUGGUCAAUGAACAAGAGCCAUGCAAGUUUCUGCUAGAUGCUGUGUUUGCUAAAGGAAUGACUGUACGGCAAUCAAAAGAGGAAUUAAUUCCUCAGCUCAGGGAGCAAUGUGGUUUAGAGCUCAGUAUUGACAGGUUUCGUCUAAGGAAAAAAACAUGGAAGAAUCCUGGCACUGUCUUUUUGGAUUAUCAUAUUUAUGAAGAAGAUAUUAAUAUUUCCAGCAACUGGGAGGUUUUCCUUGAAGUUCUUGAUGGGGUAGAGAAGAUGAAGUCCAUGUCACAGCUUGCAGU